rnacentral:sRNA from 1 species
UUGCUUUGGCUGUCUGUGCUUGUAGGGUAAUACUCAAGAAAUCUUUGCCCAGUUCAAUGUUCAGGAGUUUCCAAAAUGUUUUCUUGCAGUAGUUUCAUAGUUGGAGGUCUUAGAUUUAAGUUUUUAAUCCAUUUUCAUUUUAUUUAUGUGUAUGGCGAGAGAUAGGGGUCUAUUUUUAUUCUUCUGCAUAUGUAUAUCCAGUUUUCCCAGCACUAAUUAUUGAAGAGACUGUGUUUUCCCCAAUAUAUGUUCUUGACGUCUUUGUUGAAAGUGAGUUCACUGUAGGUACAGGACAUCUGCUUCAGCCAUGACUGUCGCUGGGUUGUGGUCAGUACUCUCCGGGGUACUUCCCAUGUUUUCCCCAUCAACCCUUAUGGUGGCCAGCCUUGUGUUCGUACACAUAUGUCACCACGAGUAGUGAAUCGCAUGAGCCGUUUCCAGAAAAGUGCUGGACUGGAAGAGAUUGAACAAGAACUGACGUCUAAGCAAGGAGGUCGUUGUAGCCCUGUUCCAGGUCUAUCAAGCAGCCCUUCUGGGUCACCCUUGCAUGGGAAACUGAACAGCCAAGACUCCUAUAACAAUUUC